rnacentral:ribozyme from 14 species
CCAGCAAAAAGGCUCGCGGGAAGGAGAGGAGCGAAGAAAAGAAAAGAAAAACAAAUGAGACAUUGAGGAUAGGAGAGUGAAUUCCAAUCGGGUCUUCUUCUUUCUUUCUCUUCUUCUCUCUUUCUCUU